rnacentral:tRNA from 1 species
UAUACCAUAGUAUAAGAAGUACAUUAGCUUUUGAUGCUAUAGGGGAUAGUUUAAUUCUAUCGGGUGUAA